AUCAACUAUCAUGAAUUGGACACGAAUGUAUUGAGGAAUUUUGAUCGAAAAAAUUCUCGUGCGCACGCUCCGUCUAUGACCUUAACCCAGACCUAAGUCAAACUUAAUCUGAGCUCUGACGUCAAUGCUCGAUAAAACAUGGCAAUUUUUUCAUCUGAUUAUUAGCCAAACAACACUUUCAUUCUUUAAAUUCUUUCCUAUUACACUUUCAACUUUUUCGAAUAUCACAUUGAACAAUAUUUUAUAAGAUAUGUUAAAUAGUGAGAUUUCGAAUAUCGUAAUAUAUCUUGGAAAAUGGGUAGAAUUUUUUUCGAAGAAAUGUUGAGGAAGUCACAUAGCGUUCCUUGCAUUGUGAUGACCGAAGUGACAAAUUAAAAUUUACGAUGAGGAAACCCUUCAAUCCCAGGGGACUUUAUCAUUUUGGUGGGAUAAUUAAGAAGUUUACAGGAAGAAGGGUUAUAUUAAUUUAUAUUUAAAAGUCUAAGUAUAACACAAAAGUGGUUGUGUUAUUUUUAGAUAAUAAAUGAGCAUUUAUUUUUAUUUUUUUUACUUAG